CAGCAGCCACGGUAAUACGUAGGUGGCAAGCGUUGUCCGGAAUUAUUGGGCGUAAAGGGCUCGCAGGCGGUUUCUUAAGUCUGACGUGAAAGCCCCCGGCUCAACCGGGGAGGGUCAUUGGAAACUGGGAAACUUGAGUGCAGAAGAGGAGAGUGGAAUUCCACGUGUAGCGGUGAAAUGCGUAGAGAUGUGGAGGAACACCAGUGGCGAAGGCGACUCUCUGGUCUGUAACUGACGCUGAGGAGCGAAAGCGUGGGGAGCGAACAGGAUUAGAGACCCGUGUAGUCCCUGUCUCUUAUAC
rnacentral:rRNA from 1 species